GGGACAUUUUUUGUAGUUUAGAGAAACAAAACCAAGUUAUAAAUAUAUUUCUAUGUAUAUUCAUAUUUUUAUUCUAUAUAUAUUAUUUUAUAUUUUUAUGUCGCAUACAUAUUUAUGUAUAUUUUAUAUAUUAUCUCUUUAUUUCUUAUAUUUUUUGAAAAAUACUUAAACCACAGAUAAGAUAUAAUAUAGAUUCAAUAUUCAAUACAUUAUUUUAUUUUAUGUUUCAGAUACAUCAGAACAUUAACGUAGUUUUAAUGUAUUUUCAUCGAUUUAUAAUUAGAAUAAAUGAAGAACAAUGAAAGAUAGAGAUAAAAUUGAGAAUCAGUUCUAUUUCUUCAAAUCUAAAGAUCUUUUUAAAUAUAAAAUACAGAAAGUAUAAGAAUUUGAAGAUUAGCAAUAUCUUUUAAGUAUUUCUAAAAAGAAAUUUUGACACUCAAUAAAUGGCGGCAACUGACAAUUCUCAGUUCUUUAGCUUUCAAUAUUAAUCGAAAUCAUCUUUAAAAGAUAAAUAUAUAAAAGAAAAAUCAUCUUCACAAUGGGAGAAGUAUAUUAAGGCAAACAGAAAUAAGGAUUUUAUGAAUAAUUUUUUAAAAAUAUUGAAAAUUUUUAUAAAUAAAGAAAUGUAAAUAAAUGUAAAUGUAAAUGUAUAUGUAAAAAAUAUAAAAUAUAAAUAAAGAUACCAAUUUUUGUGAAUAAA